AUAUCUCUCUGUACGGGAAGGAUGAGAAGCUUCGACUAAGGUUCGAUUCGAGCGUCAGCGAGAAAGCGUUGCCGCAGGCAACGACCCGAAGGGCGAAGCGCGCAGCGCUG
rnacentral:sRNA from 1 species